AGAGUUGAUCCUGGCUCAGGAUGAACGCUAGCUACAGGCUUAACACAUGCAAGUCGAGGGGCAGCAGAUCGAUAGCUUGCUAUUGAUGCUGGCGACCGGCGCACGGGUGAGUAACGCGUAUCCAACCUUCCCUAUAGUAGAGGAUAGCCCGGCGAAAGUCGGAUUAAUACUCUAUGUUUUCCAAUGCAGACAUCUAAGUUGGAACAAAGGUUCACCGCUAUAGGAUGGGGAUGCGUCUGAUUAGGUAGUCGGCGGGGUAACGGCCCACCGAGCCAACGAUCAGUAGGGGUUCUGAGAGGAAGGUCCCCCACAUUGGAACUGAGACACGGUCCAAACUCCUACGGGAGGCAGCAGUGAGGAAUAUUGGUCAAUGGGCGAGAGCCUGAACCAGCCCAAGUAGCGUGCAGGAUGACGGCCCUAUGGGUUGUAAACUGCUUUUAUACGGGGAUAAAGUGAGGGACGUGUCCCUUUUUGUAGGUACCGUAUGAAUAAGGACCGGCUAAUUCCGUGCCAGCCGCCGC
rnacentral:rRNA from 1 species